rnacentral:rRNA from 1 species
CGUUUUCCGCGCCGUAGCUAACGCAUUAAGUGCCCCGCCUGGGGAGUACGGCCGCAAGGCUAAAACUCAAAGGAAUUGACGGGGGCCCGCACAAGCGGCGGAGCAUGCGGAUUAAUUCGAUGCAACGCGAAGAACCUUACCAAGGCUUGACAUGAACCGGUAACGCCUGGAGACAGGUGCCCCGCUUGCGGUCGGUUUACAGGUGGUGCAUGGUUGUCGUCAGCUCGUGUCGUGAGAUGUUGGGUUAAGUCCCGCAACGAGCGCAACCCUCGUUCUAUGUUGCCAGCACGUGAUGGUGGGGACUCAUAGGAGACUGCCGGGGUCAACUCGGAGGAAGGUGGGGACGACGUCAAAUCAUCAUGCCCCUUAUGUCUUGGGCUUCACGCAUGCUACAAUGGCCGGUACAAAGGGUUGCGAUACUGUGAGGUGGAGCUAAUCCCAAAAAGCCGGUCUCAGUUCGGAUUGGGGUCUGCAACUCGACCCCAUGAAGUCGGAGUCGCUAGUAAUCGCAGAUCAGCAACGCUGCGGUGAAUACGUUCCCGGGCCUUGUACACACCGCCCGUCAAGUCACGAAAGUUGGUAACACCCGAAGCCGGUGG